rnacentral:rRNA from 1 species
UACGGAGGUGGCAAGCGUUGCUCGGAAUCACUGGGCGUAAAGGGCGCGUAGGCGGGGUGGUAAGUCGGGUGUGAAAUCCCUCGGCCCAACCGAGGAACUGCGCCCGAGACUGCUUCUCUUGAGUCCCGGAGAGGAAGACGGAAUUCCCGGUGUAGCGGUGAAAUGCGUAGAGAUCGGGAGGAACACCGGUGGCGAAGGCGGUCUUCUGGACGGUGACUGACGCUGAGGCGCGAAAGCGUGGGGAGCAAACAGG